AAGUUUUAAAAAAUGCUCAGCGGUUAUUGAUAGUUUGGUUGCUAUAUAUCUUUGAAACUAAAGCUCACACAACCCAUAAUUCUUCAUGUCUUUUUUCAUUAUUUUUUAAUCUUUUUCUUUCACCUAUUAUAUGUAAAUGGGGCAUUUAUUUUUCUAAGUCUGUGUUAAUGCUAAGUCUCAUGUCUCUUUACCAUCAGAGAGUUACUUUCUUUUAUGCUUUUACCACCAUUGUUUACAGGUUUUCUUUGAGACUCUUGGAAGAUAAAGUAGAAGUGCAGGGCAGAACAUCAGACAUAUCUUUGCUACUGAGCUCUAAAUAGAGCAGGCUUGAUAGUACUUUUCAUAGCAUUUGAAAAUGAAUUUAAUUUAAAGAUGAAAAGAAAACAAAUGUCUGGUUCAGUAUUUGAGGGCAAAGAUAUAGAAAAUCAUGGAUUGGCAUGAAGUCUUGAGAACUCUUCUACUUUCUCUGUGAAAAUGUAUUAAUGCAUUGUUUAAAGAUAUCAGCUAUAACUUUUGCCUGUAUUAGAAAUUGUGAUAUAUAUAUGUAUAUAUGUGUAUAUACAUAUAGAUACACACACAUAUAUGUAUAUAUAUAUGAUACAUGAAUGCAUAUAUGUAUACACACACUCACACACUCAUUCAUAAACUUUGAAGCUGAGCCAGAGUGAAUUAUGCUUCAUUUAUGUGUAUUACAUUUCUUUUGAAACUUACAAUUUUCCUGAUAAUGUAUACUUUUUUAAGGUAUAUAAGUAGAGGUUUUCAGCAUUCUAAAUUUGGAAGAACUUUUAAAGAAAUAAAAUUUGUUUAAAUGUUUCUUGUUUUGUAAUAUCUAGACUUGUAAAUAAAUGAUGGAUUUGUUGGUAGAGUGGAUAUAAUUUGAAUGUAAUAAAAAUACUGUUGAAUAAAUG
rnacentral:lncRNA from 1 species